GUGUCCAGGCGGCUAAGCACCCAUCUGAGGGGCUGGAAUUGGGACAAAGCAGCAGGCCAGGCCAGGAGAGGGCGGCCUGUUAGGGGAAAAGGGCAGGGGAGGGGCUCAGCCCUCGCACUGCCUCUCCCCAGGGCCUCUGCUCUCCAGGGGCCCCUGGAGCUGGGGACAUCCUGUAAAUAGAAAGCAAAGCAAGGAGAAGGAGUGCCUGCGAGUGCUGUGCAUGUGCGUACCUAUACAUCCAUAUCUCAUCAAAAACAUGCACACCCUGGGGACUCGGUGCAGGAAGCUGGCCAGGGUGUGGAAGGUGGAUCAAGAUUUAGAGGAGGCAAAUUCUGCCCUGCUCAGAGAAGUGGUUGGGAAACCCAGAGUAAACUGUAAGAAACCAACAUCAUAAAUGCAAGAAAGAUUACAAGUUGAUGAUUUUGAAAACAAAGAAGACUUGCUCACAUAAAUAGGCAUUUUCCCUCAGUCGUCAUGUGGAUGGAGGAGGGGAAGCCAAAGAGCUGCCAUUCUCCCAAAUGAUGCAUCUUGAGAAUGUGUCUCUGAACAUGGAGCAAGUGAGGCUGCUGCUCUGAAUUUCCAAGACGAGGCAAGUGUAUCAUCCAGAGCGAUCUGGUGAAUGCAAGAGUCCAGUCAGCAACAAAAACAAACCUGUAAAACUGUAGAGCCCGGCGCAGGGGCACACAUCUGUAAUCCCAGUGGCUCAGGAGGCGGAGGCAAGAGGAUUGCAAGUUCAAAGUCAGCCUCAGCAAAAGCAAGGUGCUAAGCUACUCAGUGAGACCCUGACUCUAAAUAAAAUACAAAAUAAAGCUGGAGAUGUGACACA